GUGUUUAUUAUACUAUCCUUUCAUCUUUUCUGUAGGUUUAAAAUUGUUCAAAAUUAAAGUUUUUUUAAAAUAAUUUAAACUGCUGUGAAUAGCUUUGUUUCAAUAUGUGUGAACUACUUUUGCUACUCUCAGAGACAAGGCUGAAAUACAUUAUGACCUUGGAGCUCUGUCGUUUGUGAAAACUAACUGAAAUUAAAAAAAAAAAAAAAAUAUAUAUAUAUAUAUAUAUAUAUAUAGUAGAGGCUGGAUGCAGUGGCUCAUGCCUAUAAUCCCAGCACUUUGGGAGGCCAAGGCAGCACAAUCACUUGAGCUCA
rnacentral:lncRNA from 10 species